UGAAACUGAAGCAACUGGCAGAUAAAGGGCUUCUUCAACCUACGCAAUGAGAUCAUCAAUGAUGAGCUACCUGUUGGAGAGACCCUGGAACGCUGGCCUGCCUUGACAAUGGAGUCACAGAUUUGUGCAGAGUUUCACAGGAUAACGAACCUCAACCUGAAGAACCACUUUUACGCGGAGUUGGAUCGGCAUGCUGUUGAGCUUGUUCAGGAAGAAGGCGCCACGCAAAGACGAAGUGUCUGAAGUUCAGCUCUUCACCGCCUAUGACCUCCAGGUGAGUCGGUUAAGCCUCUUGGUGUUUUAAUAUCAUACUAGAGUGGAUUUUCUGUGUGUGUUGGGGGGCGGGGGGUCAGCCUGAUAGAUUUAGAUUUAUUAUUAAGAUACUUGUGUUUGGGGAGGGAACAGCAGUGUUAAUGUUAUUGCACCUUGUUGUUGUGCUAAUGAGAUACAGGUGGGAUCGCAGACGCCUCAAUUGCUUCAAAAUGGUAAUCUCUUCAGUCAUGGAAGAGCCCUUGUGAUAUAAAUUGUUGUG